UUCAUUUAUUCAGUAGGAAUAUAAUAAAAAACAUCCAGAUGCAUCCUCAAAACAAGGUAUGAACGUGAGGCAUAAAAAUAUCCACCAUUCAAGUAGCGCAACAUCGACAGAAUUUAUAAAAUGCAGCAUAUCAUCUCUAUUUUUCUCAUAAACCUCCACCAUCUUUGCCAACUUUGUCGAUGGCGAUAGUCUCGGGACCUCAUGUACAAGAAUUGGUUCUAGCAAGACGCCAUCGCCAAAUCCACUAUA
rnacentral:lncRNA from 1 species